rnacentral:lncRNA from 1 species
UUUUAUCUCUAUAUUCAUAUAAACAUUAAUUGAUCAGUCUAAUAGAAUAUAAACAAUGGAAUAAAAUAAAUAAAGAAAUUGUUUAUUGAUAAAUAUAAGCGUCGUUCUGGAGCAAUCUUCGCUCGCAAUCGUCUUCGCAUCGGAAUAGAAAAUUUUCGACUAAGUGAACAUAAAUAUAAAAUAAAAACUAAAGAAAACUAUUUAGCUAAA